rnacentral:rRNA from 1 species
UGCAUCUGAUACUGUUAAGCUAGAGUAGGUGAGAGGGAAGUAGAAUUCCAGGUGUAGCGGUGAAAUGCGUAGAGAUCUGGAGGAAUACCGAUGGCGAAGGCAGCUUCCUGGCAUCAUACUGACACUGAGGCUCGAAAGCGUGGGUAGCAAACAGGAUUAGAUACCCUGGUAGUCCACGCCGUAAACGAUGUCUACUAGUCGUUGGGGAACUUGAUUCCUUAGUGACGCAGCUAACGCAAUAAGUAGACCGCCUGGGGAGUACGGCCGCAAGGUUAAAACUCAAAUGAAUUGACGGGGGCCCGCACAAGCGGUGGAGCAUGUGGUUUAAUUCGAUGCAACGCGAAGAACCUUACCUGGUCUUGACAUAUCUAGAAUCCUGCAGAGAUGCGGGAGUGCCUUCGGGAAUUAGAAUACAGGUGCUGCAUGGCUGUCGUCAGCUCGUGUCGUGAGAUGUUGGGUUAAGUCCCGCAACGAGCGCAACCCUUGUCCUUAGUUACCAGCGGGUUAAGCCGGGAACUCUAAGGAUACUGCCAGUGACAAACUGGAGGAAGGCGGGGACGACGUCAAGUCAUCAUGGCCCUUACGACCAGGGCUACACACGUGCUACAAUGGUAGGUACAGAGGGCAGCUACACAGCGAUGUGAUGCGAAUCUCAAAAAGCCUAUCGUAGUCCAGAUUGGAGUCUGCAACUCGACUCCAUGAAGUAGGAAUCGCUAGUAAUCGCGGAUCAGAAUGCCGCGGUGAAUACGUUCCCGGGCCUUGUACACACCGCCCGUCACACCAUGGGAGUUGAUUGCACCAGAAG